CUCAGUUUCUCUCUCUGUCUGCAGACGUGCUGUACAUGGACGUGACUGAGCGUCCAUCUGUCUGACGCAGACUCACAGCAUGGUGGAUGCCAGCACAGUUUACAGGAUGAACCCAGUCGCUGCCCUCAGCAUUGACCGCAACACUCUGGUGGGGGAAAACCGCCGCCCCCAUGGAGGGAUUUUCUAUCCUGGCAUCCAUCCUCUUUCAGCUGAAAUACCCCGGGAGUCUGACUCUUCUCUCCCACUGGGCUACAAUCUCCUGUACAGAUCUAAUGUAACCACGCUGAAUGGCCAGAAGCCGGCAAACGAAUAUGUUGGACUCUAUAAGAACCCAACACCAGGGCUGCAGAAACCUCUGCUUGUCCCUGCUGCAGGAGCUGAUGGCCUGGGGCCAGACCUCAGGGUUCUACCCAGUGAUAAACAGUUAGAACUGGGCCUGAAUGGUGCUGGAAACUUCCUAAGAUUGCCCUGGAUCAGGCCUUAUGCUGAUGCAACAAUGUACCCAUUCUUAGACAUGGCAUUCAAGGCCUCUUUCCUGUCCCAGCCAUCGACCUUUGUCCACCAGCAGCUGGCAUAUCAGUCUUUGUGUGCCGCUGGGGCAGGAAGCAGCACAACCAGGGAAGACAGACUUUUCUACCUUUCUCGUUUUGCCCCAACCCAUAUCACAUCUCCACUGGACCCUCCAAUCAGGUUCCCUAAGGCCACCCCUGCUCCUGCUGUCCGGGCACCUCUCUCACACUGCCAGGACAAAGCCUUGCAGGGAAUUGGUCCUCAGGUACAACAGGAACCCUUCAGCACCAGUCCACAGAUCCACCAGGAGCAUGAGCCUCACCCUACUGAGGGACGACAUGGCAGCAAUAUCAGUGGCGCAAAGUCCAGUCAGUCCUCGUCUUACAAGAGUAGCAGUAGUGAAAGUAGCACUGCCCCUGUUAGCAGUUCAGCUAGCACUGCUGCCAUAGAUUUACCCACAGUUACCCAUCCUCCAUGUUCAGUUCCUCAAUCCCUCAGAAACACCACUACAGACCUACAGAAGUCCACUUGCAGAAUCACCUCCGCAUCACCUUCACUCUUGGUGUCUCACCCCUUUUACACGUCUAGCCUGAACUCUGAGCACUGCUCUCCCCUGCACUUAGGCAACAACAAAACCAAAGAUGCCAGCUCAGACCACUGUAGUGCAGAGAAGUGUGCAUCACCUGCACAGACAUCACUGGACAGAGCUCUGCCUCAAAAACCUGACAAAUACCCUGGAGAAAACCCUUUGGAUCUGUCUGCAAAAGAGUUGGAAGGUUUUGCAAAUGGUUUCUCGUUCAAAGUAGAGGCAGUGGCCAAAUUGGGUUUUUUACCGCCAUCUCAUUAUGAGAUGCUGGACAGUCAGUCAGAGGGUCUGCCCCCACCUGUUAGCACAUCAGCUAACACUCCAAAUUGUCCUGAAAUGAUCAGUACUGUAACCUCCUCUUGGGUUGCCCUGGGUGCUUCCUCAGCUGUCAGCUCGGACCACAACAGAGGCUCCCAAAUAAUGAAUAAAAACAAGCCUCACGGUUCUCAGUUCACAAAAGUAGAGAUAAGCAGCAGUCUCAGUCCUGCCUCAGGGGGAAGAUCUUCUGCAAUGUCCCCUUCCCCCAAAUCCAAAGUUGAAUGGCCGCAAGCCUCUAACAAUCAUGUAGAGAAAGGCCCUCCAAACAGCAAAGUAGAAACUCGCACAUGCUCUGGAAAACAGAUCUUAACUCCUGCUAAGUCAGAGGCUCAGGAGACACCUCAUCCACAUCAGCAGCCGUGUGUUGAUAACGGAAACACCUCUUGCCACAUCUUUGGUGAAUCCUACCUCCCUCCUGGCUUAGGAUACACCAACCGUUACAUCCCAUAUUCAGUUGCAGAGAAUAUGUCCUUGCAACGCAUAUCCAUUCCAGGCAAGGGAUCUGUCUACUCCCACCCAGUCCUGCUCACCAACAGUGGCUUUUACCCACCACACACUGCACCAAAACAAUGUCUACCAUAUGCAGUACAUCAAUAUCAGAAUUCCCAGGAAUUGGCUCCAACAACCAUGUCGUCCUACCCAUGUCUUAAUACCAAAGACCGACUCGACAACAGAUAUAAAACCCAGGAUAAUUCCUUGAAUACAGAACCGUAUAGGAACCAGGAAAGGAGAGAUGCUGACAGCUCCCACAAGAGUGACAAUGAAAAAGACAUGUUCACAAAUCAAGACAUGAAGACUUUGGGAAAAGGCUUCACAGCUGUCAAAGAUGAAGUAGUUUGUAUUGACCCAGUGUUUGAUGAGACAGAUGAUGAAGAUGAUUUGUCCACCAACAAACUCAGCUCCUACGCUAUCGGAGUUGAGAAUUCCAUCCAACCAAGGAGCACAGGGUUUAUCCACAUUCAAGAAAACGAGCCACAGCCUCCUAAGUUCCUCCCUCCUGAACAAGCUGCAGAGAUGAGGCAAGGCUCACUACUCCAGACUUCCCAACCAAAACCUUCUCAUAACAACUCUCCUUCAUCUCCUCCUGCUAAAGAGGAGAUCCCAGAAGAAGAGGAAACACUUACUCAUAUCUCGGACAUUCCAGAGGAGCAGACUAUGCGCUGUGCGCGAACAUAUCCUCUGCAGUUUUCUAGGAAAUGUAAAAGCUUCUGGUGGUGCUGGGGACCUGGUGAGGGGGGAAUUAGUUUUGGGAAUAAUGAUGUUGAUGGAAAGAGUGCCAGUAAUGGAGCUCAGUCUGAAGGCCUGGGCAGUGAAAAGCUUGAUCCUGAGCAAAGCUCGUCAAAGAGGAGUAACUCAUCAGUUCCUGUUAGUGAAGAAAGUUCUUCUAGUGACCAUAACAAUUCUAACCACAUAGUGGGAGCAGUGUGUACAGUCACCACCCCCAAGACUCCAGUUUAUGGGGCAACUUCUCAUCCAGACGGUCCAGCUCGCACCAGUAAAGCACCAGCAUGUCGAGAUUUCAGUCCCCAGGUUCCAGUUUGCGGCACUUCAAAUCCCAGGGAGGCAGCUGGAGGAGUCAAGAACACCAGGGCCUCACUUUGUACCAACAACCCAAGAGCUGCCACUUGUAAGGGCAUAGAAGAAAACAGUACAAAUUUUGUUGGUCCGUGUUGCAGAAAUCUGAGGCCUCCAACUUUCACUGGAAAUAUGAACCCUGUGGCUCCAAACUGCAGGACUGUCAAUCCCCAAUUUGCAAUUUGUAAAAACCGCAAUGCAGUGCACCCACCUCGCAGAAACAACAAUGUUGGGGUUCUUGCAUGCAAAGGCCAGUCUUAUGGAGAUAUCCAGACCUGUGUAAAUAACAAUCUCAGGGACUCAACAUAUGGAAACUAUUUUCCUAGGAGUCCAACGUAUAGGCACUUUCCACCUGGUAAUCCAACCAAUGGAGGCUUCAACAGGAUGCCGACUAAUUUGACUCCAGAGAUGUCAGUUAACAGAGACCUUAAAUAUGAAGGCUUUUCUUCCCAUGAGACUCCAAACUCAGCUCUCACCUUUGCCAGCAAUGGAGAUGGGAGGAAUGAAAUCCAGGACGACAUGGAUCCACUAGUUGAUGAUGAUGAAGGCCCCAGCUGCAGCAAGAACAGACGCUCUGGCCUCACCAAGCGCAACGCUAAUUCUUCUGGCUACGUGGGUGACCGCUUUAAAUGUGUGACGGCGGAGCUUUACGCCGAUUCCAGCCAGCUGAGCAGGGAGCAGAAAGUGAUCCAGCGAGCGAUGCUGCGUUUCUCUGAGCUGGAGCUGAAAGAGGGAGGAAGAGGAGAAGAAGAAGAGGAAGAACGAGAGAUGACAGCAGCAGUGUUGGCGACAGGGGAGAAGGAGCUGGCAGGCAGCCAGCAAGGAGAUGGAGGAAGGGAGGAGAAUGGGAAGAAGAAAGAGGGAGGAGGAGGAGGAGGGUGGGAGCGCUGCCAGCAAAGUGAGGGGCGGCGAGCAGGAGGAGGAAGAAGUCGCUCUGCAGCUGCCGCGGACACCGAGGCUCCGAGAGCCGGGGGUCUGUUCCAGGGAAACUCCCCCAUGCCAACAUCCUCGCCCGGUGGUUCAAAUCUCUGCACGGUGAUAAACCGCAGUCGAAUCUUCAGUCUGGAGCCUUUUCAUCAGAGCAGCAUCAUCAACCGCCGACUGAAGAGAGGGAGGGAGGAGCAGAGGGAGGAGCAGAGGGAGGAGCAGAGGGAGGAGCAGAGGGCGGGAAACAAGAAAACCAAGUUAGCCAGCGACUCGACCUCAGACGACGUGAAGAAGCUGAAGGUUUGCAUCGAGCUCGACGGCCUCAGACUCAGCAAGCCCUGCCCACACAAUGAGGACGCCGAGAGUUUAGCAGAGGUCACCAGGAAGUUCAGAAAGGACGUUCUGGCCGUCAGAGGGAGGUCAGAGGUCAGCGGAGGCUGGGGUGACCCCGUGCUUGUGAGGAGGGACAGCCUGAGAGCCCCUGCAUCCUCUGGCCUCCAGGACAAGCAUCAGAAGCUGAGGGAGAGCCGCUGGGUCGCCGCUUCCCACCACUCAUUACUUCCUCUUCCUCCCUGCUCCACCUCGCCUGACCCCCAUCCUUUACGCUGCCAUGAUGACGACCCCCUCGACAGGCCGAAGGGCAAGCGUCCCUGCAAGAUGAAGCACAUGGGAAGAGCCAUGGCGAGGAAGGAGGAGAGACAUGAAGGAGGGAGGGACAACGUGGAGAAAAAUGGGAGGGUUUCUCCAUCUGACUCAUCUCGCUCGCCCGGCCACAGACCUCUCUCUCCGCAGAACACACUCUGUGCCCAACCCGCCCCUCUGGAGAUGCGCCGGCUCAUCGUGAACAAAAACGCUGGAGAGACUCUGCUGCAGCGCGCCGCCCGCCUGGGAUACGAGGAGGUGGUGCUGUACUGUCUGGAGAGGCGGCUCUGUGAUGUUAACCAUCGAGACCAUGCUGGGUACUGCGCCCUGCAUGAAGCCUGUGCACGUGGCUGGCUGGGUAUUGUGCGCCACCUGGUGGAGCAUGGAGCCAAUGUCAACUGCAGUGCUCAGGAUGGAACCAGGCCGCUGCAUGACGCUGUGGAGAACGACCACGUGGAGGUGGUGCGCUUCCUGCUGGCCUGUGGCGCCGACCCCACCCUCACGUCCUACUCAGGACGAGGGCCAAUCAACAUGACCCACAGCGCUGCCAUGGAAACCUUCCUGGAGGAAUAUCUCUGUGACCUCCAGGGGAGGUCGGAGGGCGACCAGGAAACGUACUGGGAGUUUUACGGCAGCUCGGCGUGCGAGCCGCCCAGUGACGGAGAAGUGUAUAACAUCCUGGCCGAUCCACCGGGGCCAGAGGACGAAGAGGAGGAUGAAGAGGAGGGUGAGGACAAGGAGCAACAUGCACGAAGAGAGGUGUUCGAGUUCGAACUGUCCGACCGACCACUGCUGCCCUGCUACAACAUCCAGGUGCUGUUGUCACAGGGACCCAGGAACUGGCUUCUCCUCGCCGAUGUCUUAGGUCGCCUUCGGAUGACGUCACGGUCUUUCAGGCGCCUCUUCCCUCAGAUCAACGUACAAUCCGUCCCUGAAGAUGAGUUCUACCGACAGGCAUCUCUGUCGCAGCUGCUGACGGGUCCUGACGAGCAGGAGUUGGUCUCGCUCAGGCCAGACGUCAAAGACCCUCUGGAGCUGGUGGAGGCCACGCCCGAGCUCGCCGGCAUGCUGGGCUCCUCCCUGGAGUUCGUGGACAGUCACUCGCUGAAUGCUUCGCCCAAUCUGAGACCCUCAGUGACAUUUUCCUGUGUUCCUGUGUUAUUACCUCCACAGCCACUGGGGGCAGAAGAGGGAAACAUGUUGCACAACAGAACCAAGCCGAUAGAAAGUCGAGGACUGAAGAAGCUGGUGUUUUCUGCUGCUAAAACAGAAACUAAACAACAUGCUAACACGUGGGAACCACAACAACAAAGAAGUAAACAUGUCGUAGGUCCUUCGCCAACAAAGACAAACAUUACAUUCAACGCUCGCAUCUGGGAACAACAAGGAUUACGAAUUAAGAAAGCUGGUCUCAUUAACUCUGACUGUGAGAUGGACACCAGCAUGUGGGAACAACGACCAAGAGGCAAAAUUAUGGCCGGGGCUUCCGCUAAUUCUGACACAAUGGGCAGAGCUAACAUGUGGGAGCCUCAAAGACUCCGAAGUAGGAACCCUGUGAAUUCUGACACCGCCCUGUCAGAACCUCAGCGACUGAGCAAUAAAAACACUGAAAAUUCGAACUCUUCAGAUUCAAAUGUUGCAGCUGACGCUAACACAUGGAAACGACAAAAUCAACGAAGUAAGACUGACAGCGUUUCUGAUUUUACAGAUCGAGGUGCUUCACUGGAGGGAAGCAUCUGGGAACCACAGCGACUGAGCAUUAAGAACGCCGCCAUUACCAGCCCGGCGACAGCAGACACUAACCUGUGGCAACGACACGGACUAAAGAGAGUGGGUGGAAACAUCUGUGGCUCUAAGUUAGCUAAUAGCAUCAAGAUGGACGCUGCCUGGCAAAGGAACCUGGGUAACGUUGGAGUCCACAUCAGGGACAUGGGGAUGAAAGUCGCCACCGUCCACAGAGACCUGAAAAACGAGGGGGGGGAGGUCGUCGGUAAGAAUGGAGUUAAAAUACGAUCGUGACAGAGUGGGAGGAAUGAAACACGUAAAUAAGAUCAGAGAGGCAACAUGAACAUUAAAGGAACAGUAACACGUGUGUUAUAUGUUUGUGUUUUUGUCAGAUUCCACUGGUGGGAACACGCUGCUGUUUCUCUGUAACAUGAUUCGUUCUCUUGUGUGUAAACAAACUAUUUAUUGUCCAAUCAAAACCAGGAAGACGUUUGUCUCAACGUGUCGUGUAAAACCAUCAAUGUUAGCUCCUGUCUCUUUAAGACCCUCCUCCUCUCCUCGCUCUGAUUGGUCAGCUGACACACUCUGUUAUGAUUGGUCUACAGCUUCCAGUGUGUGUAGGAAAGUGAGACAUCUCAAACCAGCUGCUGGACACGUGUGACGUAAACACGCACAGGGUUAUGUUUAGUUAAGUUAAGGUUUAGCUAAGGUUAGGUUUAGUUAUGUUUGGGUUAAGUUAGGUUUAGUUCAGGGUUAGUCAAUGUGUUAGAUCAAUGAACGUCUUCACUGAGACAGAAAUAUGAACGUGUGUGAAGAAAACUGGGAUCUACCAUUUUCUCUGAGAGAGAAAGAGGGGGAGGGGGAGGGAGAGAGAGAGAGAGUGUUUUUCAUCGCGGGCUGUAGCCAAGAUCUAGAGAGGACACUAUACAAUUUCCCACAAGACAUCACUCUCACACACACACACACACACACACACACACAAUCUGAAGUCAGGGGUGUUACCACAGUGCCUCCUGCUGGUCACAGUCAGUGUGUUCUUUAGGAAAUAAUAU